GUGAAUCAUCAAAUCUUUGAACGCAAAUUGCACUUUCUGGGAUUCCAGAAAGUAUGCCUGUGUGAGGGUCAGUUAAAUAGAAAUCGGUGUUGUUGCUGCUUGGCGCGGGUAGGCGUCGGAGUUGAGUUGUCUUACCUGCGGUUAAGUGACUUAAAAUUUUGCAUGUGGUUCGAACGUAGUUAAAUUUCUUACGUACGUUUGAGGUAUCGAGUACUGUAUUAGGUUCGGUCUGCCUCAUAUUUCGCAUCUAGAAUUUUUCAUUAAAUGACCUCAAAUCAGGUAAGAAAGACCGUU
rnacentral:misc_RNA from 1 species